UCAAGAUUAAACACCAUUUUGACGGUGAGUAUUCGACAAAAACCGGUUAAAACAAAAAUUGCAAUUUAGUUUAAAAAAAAGAAAAGAAUUUUAGUAAAAAUUAAACACCAAUACACCAUCCAAGUUUAAUCAAGAUUUUGGUUCGUCACUAGGCCGUAAAAGUCUUUGAUGAAUUGAUUAGGGGUUUUAUCAAAUGGAACCUGAAACGAAAAAGAGAAAAUUUAUCCGUCCACCUCCUCGCCGUUGCAUAAUCAGAUGUGUGUUUCAAGUUAUACACGAUAUUGCAAUUUUGUAAACUUUUAGGACUGCCCCUUCACCACCUGAAAAGAGUGAUCCUGUCACGGUUUCAGCUAAGCCAAAUGUAAAUAUGGCUCAAAAUGUAAUUAUUGAUUCAAGGAUUUAACAAGCUAAGAAUCACGCGAUUGCGCAGGCUCAAGAACAUGGCUCAAAAGCAAACUUCAGGGUAUUUGAUUCCCCAUUUGGGAACUUUCUAGUCCCCGUUGUUCCAACUCGUGCGGAAUUUGGUGGUUGAUUGGUCAGGCAUGUUGUUAUUACGCAUUCGUACCUGCUAACUUUGUAUUGAAUUUGAUACCUCUAAUGCUUAAAACCACUCGUGAGGUUCAGUAGGAAACUGAUUACCAAGUCUUUAUAAGUUCAGGUUCUUGGCUCAUAAGAUGUAUAUGGUAGAAUUUUGUUAAGUUGGCACUUUUAUCGGUUCAUUUUUAGACGAAUAAGAUAUGUUUUUCACAUCAAA